CUAGUUCAUCUUCAACUCAUAAAUUGUCUUGGAUGGAUAAAUAUUUUUUACCACUACCGUCAAAUAAUGAAUCUGUACUAAAUAAGCUAAGCUUAAAAAAAUUAAAAUCUAUUGCAAAAAGGCAAGGUUUAAAGAACUACCUUAUUCAAAAUAUAACUGAAAGACUAAAUCAGUUCUUAUACGGCUAAUUCUAAAAGAAGAGUCGGAUGCUGGAGAUUGGCAUAGAAAAUUAAGCAGGGUUAGUAUUAAAAAAUUAAAAUCAAUUGCUACCAAACUAAACUUAAAGAUAAAGAGAAAUAGUAAACAAAUAGAUCUAUUGAAACAAAUUUCAGAUAAUGUAAACAAUGAUAAUAUAAACAGAAUUCUUAAUGAAAUUGAAUUGCCAAGUUUAGAAGAAAUAUUGAAGGAAAUAUUAGAGAAAUCGACUCAAAAUAAAACGUUGAAAGAACUAAGAAAACUUGCCAAAGAAAAGAAUAUCAAAGGUUACUCAAAAAUGAAGAAGGCAGAAUUAUUACAAAAAAUUGGUGAGGAACCUUUUGCAAUCGAAGAUGAUUAUUUUACAGAGUUUUCAAAAAAACCUAAAUUUAAAAUAAUAGAAACAAAAGCUGAAUACAGCAAAAAAUGGAAGAAACAUAAAGUUUACUAUAAAGUUAUAUUAUUGAAAGACAGGCGAGAAUCAUCCGAGUCUGAUCUUUCAGACAUAAUUAUGAAAAAAAUUACUGCCAUUAGAGAGGGUUUAAAUGAUAUGAUUAAAACACUAAAAGAGAAAACAAAUUUCAAAGAAGGAGACUUAUUAAAUAUAGUAGUUAACCACACCCAUCUUUGGACACCUAUUGCCACCGGAUUAUCAAGAACGUCUGAUGUUGAUAAUUUAUUAAACAAAAUUCAACGUAUCUUAACUUCAAAUCAAGAUUUAGAUAUAUACGGUUGUACGUUUCAUGUAGAAGUAGUUAAUAUGCCUAAAGGUGCCACUAAUGCGAAAAGAUUGUUAAAUAUAGCAGAAGACUCAAGAACAAAGAAAAGUAUAACACAAAUAAAAAAUAAAGAUAGAUUAUGUUGUCCAAGAGCCGUUAUUGUUGGAUUAACUUAUCAUACAAACAUUAUACUCGGUAAGGAAUAUAAUGAUAAUGAAUUAAAAUAUAUAAGAAUGGGAAGAAAUUUACAAACAACUUUAGCUCAAGAGCUAUGUAAUCAGCUUGAAGAAUAUAAUGAAGAGUAUUUUACCUUACAUGAUAUUGCAAGUAUAGAAAAAGUAUUAAAUAUUCAAAUAAAAGUCGUAGCAGCGGAAUGCUUUAAUUCCAUAAUAUAUUCGGGGCCCGAAAAAGAUAUAAAAAUAUAUUUAUAUAAAAAUGGAAAUCAUUUUGAUACAAUUGGUAGUAUGACAGCUUUCUAUGGUCAAUCUUAUUAUUGUAAAAAAUGUGAUAAACCAUAUCAAAACAAAGAUAAACAUAAAUGCAAAACAAAGGAUAAAAUAUGCAUAAUGUGUUUCAAAUCUAAUCACAAAGAAGACUCUGCUAAAAGAAUAUAUUGCGAAAAAUGCAAUAGAUACUGUUUUAAUCAAGAAUGUUUACAAAAUCAUUCUGAAGUUUGUGAAAGAUUUCAUAAAUGCUUAAAGUGUAAUAAAAUACUCAAAAGAGGUGAUAAAAUGGUUGACGAAGGUAAAAAAAUGAUUGAAGAAGGAAAUAGAUUAAUUUGUACAAAACCGAAAAUGGUCCAAAAAUGUAAUAAAAUUAUUGAAAGAGGUAAUAAAAUGAUAGAAGAGGGUAGUAAAGAACACAAAUGUGGCUGGGAAAAAUGUAGAAAUUGUUAUAAAGAGGUUGAAAUACGUAAACAUAAAUGUUACAUGCAAUGGAAGCGGCAAAAAGGUGGAAUCUGUCAAACUAAAAUAAAAGACGGUAGUAAAGAAUACAAAGUAAAAGGUUGUAAAAAUUGUGAUAGAAAAGGUUGUACAGUAACUUUUCCUGAUAAAACAAACAAAAGAGUAAAAUCUCACAUUUAUCAAUGUAAAGAAUGUAAAAAUUGUGUUAAAAUACCAAGAAAGACUGACAGGGUCAGCCCAGAGUUUACCAAAGGGUGCGGAGCACAAGUCAAAGACGAUUCACGAGGGGAUUUAAAAAUCCCGGAGUCGAAGACAAAGAACGAAAACGGUUAUCAAUGUCUUAAUUGCGGAUGUUCAUUUAGUACAACUAAAUGCUCUUACACACAAAAAUAUUUAUUAUUUGAUUAUGAGGCGAUGCAAGAAACGGGAAAACACGUACCUAAUUUAGUUAUAGCUCACGAUUUUUACGGUAAUGUUGAUUCUUUUAAGACUAACAAAGAUUUCUGUAAAUGGUUAGUUUCUAGAGAUCAUAAAGGAUACACAGCUAUUGCACAUUAUGGCAAAGGUUAUGAUUCUUACUUUAUUCUAAAAUAUUGCGUUGAAAACGGUAUUAAACCUUUCUGCAUAUAUAAAGGAUCUAAAAUAAUGUUAAUGGAAAUAAAAUCAAUUAAUUUAAGAAUUAUUGAUAGUAGUAAUUUUGUUCAAGGACCUUUAAAAAACUUCCCAAAAACAUUCGGUCUAAACGAACUUAAAAAAAAUAUUUAGUGUUCGCCCUAUGGUUUGCACCCUAUUAGUUGCGCCGCAUGUAGGCAACCAACGACACACACAGUUGAACUCGCACGAAUUCCAAUAACUAAAUCACAAACUACCUACUCUAGUAGGUGGUUUGUGAACUAAAUGAUCCACGGAGCAAGAAGUGCCACGUUUAGGGGUAUGUUUGUAAUGGGGUGCAGGGCGCGAAGCGCCCUGCCUCCACUAAAAACCCGAUAUUACACCUACCCAUGUUGUUGACUAUAAAAAGUUAGGUUAUGUUCGAAACGACUUUGCCAUUGAAGAGUGUGCAAGCAUUUCCACAACAUUUGAAGGUGAGGAACGUGAUCAGGGGGUCCUGUAGAAGAGUUCUGUGCAAACAGUUUGUACGAAAUCGAAAAGUGCUCUUUGUAAAAUUUUACCUUUAAUUGAUCUGAUAAAAAUGGAUACAAAAAAGUACGGAGUCAGCUUAUCGGCUUUAAAAAGUUUACAAGAUUUCCAGCAAUCGAUCAUGAGUAAGCGAAGAAAAAGAAAAGUAAUCGCAAUGCCUUUCACAGUUGAAUGCCGCAUUACCUUCAACGAUGGAAAGCCGUGUCGCUGCACGAUAGUUGCAGACUCAGGGCUGAUCUCUUGUGAAAUGUUUGGUGUUCUUUACUUGAAGAAUGUGGUCGGAAGCAGCACUGAAACUGACACUACUGUGCUAUUUAGUGGUAAAGACCCAUUAAAAGUAUUUAACAAAUUGUUUAUAGAAUUUGAUAAGAAGGAUGACAAAGAUACAUUUAUCACCAGCAUUGAAAAUGUUCUAAGGUCGGAUUCAGAUGAUCACAGCUCAAGCAGUGGGGAUAGUAUGAUACAGUAGUAGAUUAUUUGUUAUAUCUACAUACAUCGAUUUAUCUGAAUAAAUAAUUUUUGCAUUCAUA